GACGAACGCUGGCGGCGUGCUUAACACAUGCAAGUCGAACGGAAAGGCCCUGCUUUUGUGGGGUGCUCGAGUGGCGAACGGGUGAGUAACACGUGAGUAACCUGCCCUUGACUUUGGGAUAACUUCAGGAAACUGGGGCUAAUACCGGAUAGGAGCUCCUGCUGCAUGGUGGGGGUUGGAAAGUUUCGGCGGUUGGGGAUGGACUCGCGGCUUAUCAGCUUGUUGGUGGGGUAGUGGCUUACCAAGGCUUUGACGGGUAGCCGGCCUGAGAGGGUGACCGGCCACAUUGGGACUGAGAUACGGCCCAGACUCCUACGGGAGGCAGCAGUGGGGAAUAUUGCACAAUGGGCGGAAGCCUGAUGCAGCAACGCCGCGUGCGGGAUGACGGCCUUCGGGUUGUAAACCGCUUUCGCCUGUGACGAAGCGUGAGUGACGGUAAUGGGUAAAGAAGCACCGGCUAACUACGUGCCAGCAGCCGCGGUGAUACGUAGGGUGCGAGCGUUGUCCGGAUUUAUUGGGCGUAAAGGGCUCGUAGGUGGUUGAUCGCGUCGGAAGUGUAAUCUUGGGGCUUAACCCUGAGCGUGCUUUCGAUACGGGUUGACUUGAGGAAGGUAGGGGAGAAUGGAAUUCCUGGUGGAGCGGUGGAAUGCGCAGAUAUCAGGAGGAACACCAGUGGCGAAGGCGGUUCUCUGGGCCUUUCCUGACGCUGAGGAGCGAAAGCGUGGGGAGCGAACGGGCUUAGAUACCCUGGUAGUCCACGCUGUAAACGGUGGGUACUAGGUGUGGGGUCCAUUCCACGGGUUCCGUGCCGUAGCUAACGCUUUAAGUACCCCGCCUGGGGAGUACGGCCGCAAGGCUAAAACUCAAAGGAAUUGACGGGGCCCCGCACAAGCGGCGGAGCAUGCGGAUUAAUUCGAUGCAACGCGUAGAACCUUACCUGGGUUUGACAUGGAUCGGGAGUGCUCAGAGAUGGGUGUGCCUCUUUUGGGGUCGGUUCACAGGUGGUGCAUGGCUGUCGUCAGCUCGUGUCGUGAGAUGUUGGGUUAAGUCCCGCAACGAGCGCAACCCUUGUUCACUGUUGCCAGCACGUUAUGGUGGGGACUCAGUGGAGACCGCCGGGGUCAACUCGGAGGAAGGUGGGGAUGACGUCAAGUCAUCAUGCUCCUUAUGUCCAGGGCUUCACGCAUGCUACAAUGGCUGGUACAGAGAGUGGCGAGCCUGUGAGGGUGAGCGAAUCUCGGAAAGCCGGUCUCAGUUCGGAUUGGGGUCUGCAACUCGACCUCAUGAAGUCGGAGUCGCUAGUAAUCGCAGAUCAGCAACGCUGCGGUGAAUACGUUCCCGGG
rnacentral:rRNA from 1 species